rnacentral:rRNA from 1 species
UACGAAGGGGGCUAGCGUUGUUCGGAAUUACUGGGCGUAAAGCGCGCGUAGGCGGUGUGCAUAGUCAGGGGUGAAAUCCCGGGGCUCAACCUCGGAAUUGCCUUUGAUACUGGCACGCUUGAAUCCGUGAGAGGGUGGUGGAAUGACCAGUGUAGAGGUGAAAUUCGUAGAUAUUGGUCGGAACACCAGUGGCGAAGGCGGCCACCUGGCGCGGUAUUGACGCUGAGGCGCGAAAGCGUGGGGAGCAAACAGG